rnacentral:rRNA from 1 species
UACGUAGGGCGCAAGCGUUAUCCGGAAUUAUUGGGCGUAAAGAGCUCGUAGGCGGUCUGUCGCGUCGGCUGUGAAAACCCGGGGCUCAACCCCGGGCCUGCAGUCGAUACGGGCAGGCUAGAGUUCGGUAGGGGAGGACUGGAAUUCCUGGUGUAGCGGUGAAAUGCGCAGAUAUCAGGAGGAACACCGGUGGCGAAGGCGGGUCUCUGGGCCGAUACUGACGCUGAGGAGCGAAAGCGUGGGAGCGAACGG